rnacentral:rRNA from 1 species
GACGAACGCUGGCGGCGUGCCUAAUACAUGCAAGUAGAACGCUGAAGAGAGGAGCUUGCUCUUCUUGGAUGAGUUGCGAACGGGUGAGUAACGCGUAGGUAACCUGCCUUGUAGCGGGGGAUAACUAUUGGAAACGAUAGCUAAUACCGCAUAACAAUGGAUGACACAUGUCAUUUAUUUGAAAGGGGCAAUUGCUCCACUACAAGAUGGACCUGCGUUGUAUUAGCUAGUAGGUGAGGUAAUGGCUCACCUAGGCGACGAUACAUAGCCGACCUGAGAGGGUGAUCGGCCAAACUGGGACUGAGACACGGCCCAGACUCCUACGGGAGGCAGCAGUAGGGAAUCUUCGGCAAUGGGGGCAACCCUGACCGAGCAACGCCGCGUGAGUGAAGAAGGGUGUCGGAUCGUAAAGCUCUGUUGUAAGUCAAGAACGGGUGUGAGAGUGGAAAGUUCACACUGUGACGGUAGCUUACCAGAAAGGGACGGCUAACUACGUG